CUCUCAUUUCUUUCUUCCUUCACGUUUUUUUUCUUUCUUUUGCUGCAUACCCAUUUCAUUUGUUCUUCUUCAUGUUUUCUCCUUUCUUGUUCUCUUCUUCUCCUCAUCACCAACACCAAAUUCUUAUUUUCUCUCUUGUACAGCACCUCACCAUCAUCACGAGUUGCUUCUUCCUUCAUGUUCAAGCCGCCACCAAUCCUCUCCAUGGCCACAACGAAGCCAGCCAUCACCACCAUGGUUUUCCUUUCUUCUUCAUUCACGUGCAGCACCCACACCAUCACCACCGUCCCUCAUCCUCACCAUGGCAACAGUCCAGCCAAGAGGCCACCAUAAUCACGUUCUUCUUCUCCUUUCCACCAUGAAAACCAUCACCACAAACAUGCUCUUGUUCUGCCCCUCCUUCUUCACGCAAGAAAGCCACCAUGGCAGCCACCAUGUUCCUCUUCUUUCUCUCCAUGGCCACCACGAGAAGGCCAGCACCACAAACGUACAGCCCCAUUCAUCAUAUGGUAUUGUUCAAGCUUCAUCUUCCAUAUCAUGACAAGGAGACACCAUCACCAUGCCACUUUACUUCCUCAUGUGGUAAAACCUUUUCCUUUGCUAUCUCUAAUUGAUAAACUUCAUUUACAUGCUUCAAAAUUCUUAGAACAAGAUCUGAUCAUUUCAUGAAAUAGGGAUUUAAGCUCCUCCACCAUCAUCUUCUCAUUUUCCUUGGGUAUGAAUAACGGAAGCGCUUGACGACGAAGCCAAAGAACAGACGGAAGUGAGCCAACACGGGAAAGCAAAGAUAUGACUGGAUUUGAUUUGAGUCGCAACUUAGUAAGGAAAGCGCCUAAGGCGUCUGUCAGCCGGUUCGUGAUGAUUCGUUGUGCGGGAAAGACCCGGAGCGGAACGACUAUUACUGAAGCUUUCGACGAGGACCCGGACUUCAUGCCUGAUCGAGGGGGGGUCGAUGAUAGUAGUGUGGGGUAUGGGUGGUUAGAGUCUUUUGGAGUUGGUUGUUACUGUAAUAGCUCUGAUUCGUUUUGCUGUUGGGACAGGGUAGGUUCCCGAUGCAUGGCUUUUUGUGUGAUUCUCUUACGGAGGGAUCACAGUGAGUCAGUCGGACCAUAGGGGUCUUUGCUUAGGCCAUUUUGAGGCCGACUUUCUCCUAGUGGUUUGUAAUUAUAAUUUUCUCACUUACAGUUCUGGUUUGUAUAUAUUCGCCUACGGGCACGCUACUUUGGGGUCACUGCGAGUGUGUGUGACGUGGAAGUACAGCUGAGGCUGUACAUGUUUAUAUUUGAUGUAUAUCGGUUAGUUUAGUAGUUGGGCUUUGUUUUUAUUUCUUUAUUGCUUUUAUUAAAAGGAAACAAUCAAAAAAAAAUUACCUGUUU